rnacentral:rRNA from 1 species
CCUACGGGUGGCAGCAGUGGGGAAUAUUGGACAAUGGGCGAAAGCCUGAUCCAGCCAUGCCGCGUGUGUGAAGAAGGCCUUCGGGUUGUAAAGCACUUUCAGUGGGAAGAAAGCCUUGGGGCUAAUACCCUCGAGGAAGGACAUCACCCACAGAAGAAGCACCGGCUAACUCCGUGCCAGCAGCCGCGGUAAUACGGAGGGUGCGAGCGUUAAUCGGAAUUACUGGGCGUAAAGCGCGCGUAGGCGGUCUGAUAAGCCGGUUGUGAAAGCCCCGGGCUCAACCUGGGAACGGCAUCCGGAACUGUCAGGCUAGAGUGCAGGAGAGGAAGGUAGAAUUCCCGGUGUAGCGGUGAAAUGCGUAGAGAUCGGGAGGAAUACCAGUGGCGAAGGCGGCCUUCUGGACUGACACUGACGCUGAGGUGCGAAAGCGUGGGUAGCAAACAGGAUUAGAUACCCCGGUAGU